UACGAAGGGGCUAGCGUUGCUCGGAAUCACUGGGCGUAAAGGGUGCGUAGGCGGGUCUUUAAGUCAGGGGUGAAAUCCUGGAGCUCAACUCCAGAACUGCCUUUGAUACUGAAGAUCUUGAGUUCGGGAGAGGUGAGUGGAACUGCGAGUGUAGAGGUGAAAUUCGUAGAUAUUCGCAAGAACACCAGUGGCGAAGGCGGCUCACUGGCCCGUAACUGACGCUGAGGCACGAAAGCGUGGGGAGCAAACAGGG
rnacentral:rRNA from 1 species